AACAAGGCGUACCUGCGGACCUGCGGAAGGAUCAUUACUGAGUCACGUGCUCAAACAACCCUUCUAUGGACCUGAAAUAAAACCGUUGCCUCGGCGGGCGGUCCCCCCCAAACCAACCCCACGUGGUGGGUUAGGGGAGACCAGACAGUCCGGUACGCUUAAGGCGUCCGGCGCCAGCCGCUGGCCCCAAACAAUUAAACUCUAGUAAUCUUUACCUUCUGAGUUUCAAUAUUUAAAAAU
rnacentral:misc_RNA from 1 species